UGCUAAAGCCUCCUACUCCCUGGGGCCUGCAAAAAAUUUUAAGAAAAUGUGAAAAAGAUGCAUAUACAAAUCUACAAAUAGAUUAUUAAAUCAUUCUGAUCAACAUCAGAUAAAAAAUUUGAUUUUAGAUGGGAUAUUUAACACUUAGGAUUUUCAAGAUUAUUUUCUACUUGUAGUUAUCAAACCCCAUUCAACCAGUCAUGAAAUAUCAUUGAUAAUA
rnacentral:misc_RNA from 1 species